UUUCUAUCGUUGGGUAUGUAUUGAAAAGGAAACUUAGAAAUAGAUUGCUUUUUGUAUGUGGUGGUGUUCGCCUGUCAGCUGCUGAACCAGCAGCCUGCAUUCCUACUAUCAAUGCACCACUAGAGAUCCUCACACUUUAAGAAGGCUACUAUUCCUUACAUGAAGAUCACCAUCCAGUUCAAGUACUGUAAAUGGACCUCAAGCCUUUUUUUUUAAGCUUAGUGAUGUGUUCUCUCAUCAGUCAACCACAGAGUCUUCGUCUACUUUGUGUUGUUAACCAUCAGCCCUCAGCAUCACAGGUAUCCAGAUUUCCAAGCUUCUCUGAUUAGCCCAAAAUCAUCUAUACACUUCAGCUAUUAAUUGUGGUUUCUCUUCCUCUCUUCUUAGUCUGCAAAAUGUGCAACAUGGAAUAAGUUUCACCAUCAUUGCAUUACCAUGAAAAUUGUCAUUGUUAAUCCUGCUGUUCCUCUCACCAUUACUUAGCCAGCUAACAUGGAUAGGCUUUAACACCAUCUCCAUUUUUUGUUUCGCCGCCAGUGGACCACACGCAACUACAUUUUCUUCGUCUUCCUGUCAUGGUUGUCUACGCCUUCACCUCAUCGCUGUCUUCGUCUACGUUUUCGCCUCAUCACUGUCUUCCUCUACGUUUUUCCUCGUCACUGUCUUCCUCUACGUUUUCGCCUCGUCCCUGUUUUCGUCGAAAUCUUCGCCUUCGUCUCCGUCUUGUCAUCUUGGCCGUCUUCGCCUUCAUCUCCGUCUUCGCCUUUGUUUCAUCGUCAUCUUGGCCGUCUUUGUCUGCCAUCACCUCGUCGCCUUCGCCCUUCACAUAAGGAUUUCACCGUGGAUCGUCGCCCUGGUAUUGUUUUAUUUUGCAUUGUAAUGUUUAAGUUAACCCGUUGGCUGCCACCCCGUUUGCGUCCCAUUUUUUUU